ACGACCAAAGGCAAACCCCUCGCAAGGGGGGGACGCAAAGCCACGGGGCCCACAGGGCCGGCCGGGUUACCGAAA
rnacentral:ncRNA from 1 species